rnacentral:rRNA from 1 species
CCUACGGGAGGCUGCAGUGGGGAAUUUUGGACAAUGGGCGCAAGCCUGAUCCAGCUAUUCCGCGUGUGGGAAGACGGCCUUCGGGUUGUAAACCACUUUUGUAGAGAACGAUAAGUCUGUUGAUAAUACCGAUAGAUGAUGAUGGUACUCUAAGAAUAAGCACCGGCUAACUACGUGCCAGCAGCCGCGGUAAUACGGAGGGUGCUAGCGGUCAACGGAAUUACUGGGCGUAAAGGGUGUGCAGGCGGUUUUGCAAGAUGGAUGUGAAACCCGCGGGCUUAACCUGGGAAAGCCAUACAUGACUGCAAGACUAGAGUGCGUCAGAGGGGGGUGGAAUUCCAAGGGGAGCAGUGAAAUGCGUAGAUAUUUAGAAGAACACCGAUGGCGAAGGCAGCCCCCUGGGACGCAACUGACGCUCAUACACGAAAGCGUGGGGAGCAAACAGGAUUAGAUACCCCUGUAGUC